GCUCACGCCCAAGCUUUGACACAAUUGCGUGUCAGGAUUAACUUGCUUGUGCAUGUGGAACUUGCGCGUGCACUUGGGGCCGGACACGUGCGUACGCGCGCGCACGCUUGAGUGGUAUACAAAACGACGUUCGCACGUGCUNUCCGAAUANGCCGACUUGCAAAAAAAGCUUUGUCGUGUUGUGAUUGCUGANANAGCGAUGUGUAGUUCCAGGCAGUCACCCGCGUUUGGGUUAACGGUCGCGAACUGCCACGCGUAAACAACAUGACUUGCUCAAAUCCUAAUGGUUUCGGUCGGGGGGGCUCCGUUUACAGUAUUGGAGCCUAUUGAGGUAACACCUUGGCGAAGUCGGUCAAAAGCUGCCGUGUUUGCAAACUUGUAUUAGAACCCCUGACGCCUUUGUGGUGUGUAAUGUUUAACGGGCGUUUCGUGGCGCAGAUCGCACUUUCUCAANAUGAGCGUGCGAAUAAAAUGUGGUAAGAAUUUAUGCACCUGGGGUGGGGUACCCGCGUAGUUAACGAAAAAGCCCGCGGAUAGUGCCAUUCGCACUUUGUUCGCGGACUUUUCAAAUUUUCCUGAAUUUGACCACACGUGCGGGAAAACAAAUACCCGUUUAACGCGUAACGCGCGUAUAGGACGAAUUUGGGCGUUGGGUAAGUCCCUUUGAACGGCAGGACUCUUCGGGGAAGGUUGCUUCCGCUAUAGGAAGAAAACGUGGCACCACCAAUGUUGCCUGCGAUUGGGCUGGGCCGUCAGGCUCCGAUGUCCGUGAAGAAUGGCCGUGGUUAACGUCCCCGGCGAAUUG
rnacentral:rRNA from 1 species